UACGUAGGGUGCAAGCGUUAUCCAGAUUUACUGGGCGUAAAGCGCACGCAGGCGGAUGAUUAAGUCAGCUGUGAAAGCUCCCGGCUCAACUGGGAAGGGUCGGCUGAAACUGGUCGUCUGGAGGGCAACAGAGGAGUGUAGAAUUGCGGGUGUAGUGGUGAAAUGCGUAGAUAUCCGCAGGAAUACCAGUGGCGAAGGCGGCACUCUGGGCCUGUACUGACGCUGAGGAGCGAAAGCGUGGGGAGCGAACAGG
rnacentral:rRNA from 1 species